rnacentral:lncRNA from 1 species
ACGGCUUGACUGUCGGAUCCUGCCUUCCCCAGCCGGAUCUGUGUGUCUCGUGUGGUCCCCCAUUGCCCCACCCCCUCAGCUGCCUGCAGGCUCUGGUCAGCCAGGCCUGAGACGAUGAGAACUGAAAACCCCAUCCGCAUUAGGGAGUGGAGACUGCGGCUGCUGUGUCCCCUUGCCCCUCCAUCAGUUCCUCCACCCUCCAUCGCAGCAGGAGUUCUUCUAAGAUUUGGGGGGUCUCCGCCUGAAGCCCCUUUGAAGAGCAGAAACACAUUAGCACGAUCGCCACCACUGAUGAGCAUUUGGAAGAAAUCACCUUUGGAGGAGGUGGGAAGGCAGUGGGCAAGAAGAAAUAGCCUCAACAUCCUUCAUCUUCACCAGGAAAAAUAACCAAGGAUGCAGUCGAAAAUUUGUCCCUAGGGUCGUUGAUUGACAGGCG